rnacentral:rRNA from 1 species
AGAGUUUGAUUAUGGCUCAGGAUAACGUUGGCGGCGUGCCUAAUACAUGCAAGUCGAACGAAGACUGUAAUGUCUUAGUGGCGAACGGGUGAGUAACGCGUGGGUGACCUGCCCCGAAGUGUGGGAUAACAGUUCGAAAGGACUGCUAAUACCGCAUAAUCCAAGAGAUUAGACGCUUUUGGAUUAAAGGAGUAAUUCGCUUCGGGAGGGGCCCGCGUCCCAUCAGCUAGUUGGUAAGGUAAUGGCUUACCAAGGCGAUGACGGGUAGGAGACCUGAGAGGGUGGCCCCCCACAAUGGAACUGAAACACGGUCCAUACACCUACGGGUGGCAGCAGUAGGGAAUAUUAGUAAUGGGCGAAAGCCUGAACUAGCAACGCCGCGUGUGCGAGGUUCGUUGAGCACUUUUUGAGAGGGGAAACUCUCAGAAUAAGUCUCGGCAACUACGUGCCAGCAGCCGCGGUAACACGUAGGAGGCAAACGUUAUCCGGAUUUACUGGGCGUAAAGCGCGUGUAGGUGGUUUGGUAAGUAGGGCGUGAAAGCUCCUGGCUCAACUGGGAGAGGACGUUCUAAACUACCAAGCUUGAGGAUGGUAGAGGGAGGUGGAAUUCCGGGUGUAGCGGUGGAAUGCGCAGAUAUCCGGAGGAACACCAGUGGCGAAGGCGGCCUCCUGGACCUUCCUGACACUCAGACGCGAAAGCUAGGGUAGCAAACGGGAUUAGAGACCCCGGUAGUCCUAGCCCUAAACGAUGUAGACUUGGCGUCGGUGGUUUAAAGCCAUCGGUGUCGGAGCUAACGCGUUAAGUCUACCGCCUGGGGACUACGGCCGCAAGGUUAAAACUCAAAGGAAUUGACGGGUCCCCGCACAAGCAGCGGAGCGUGUGGUUUAAUUCGAUGCUACACGAAGAACCUUACCUGGGUACAUAAGGUAAGGGAAGCGAAAGCAGACCGUUCGAGCCUUAAGGUGUUGCAUGGCUGUCGUCAGCUCGUGUCGUGAGAUGUUCGGUUAAGUCCGCUAACGAGCGCAACCCUCGCUGUGUGUUACAAGUGUCACACAGUACUGCCGAUAUUAAGUCGGAGGAAGGUGGGGAUGACGUCAAGUCAGCAUGACCUUUAUAUCCAGGGCUACACACACGCUACAAUGGUCAGUACAAUGGGUUGCCAAGCCGCGAGGCGGAGCCAUCCUAAAAAGCUGGCCUCAGUUCAGAUUGCAGUCUGCAACUCGACUGCAUGAAGUUGGAGUUGCUAGUAACCGCAGGUCAGCAAUACUGCGGUGAAUACGUUCCCGGGGAUUGUACACACCCCCGUC